rnacentral:rRNA from 1 species
UACGAAGGGGGCGAGCGUUGUUCGGAAUUACUGGGCGUAAAGAGCGCGCAGGCGGUCGUUCAAGUCGAGUGUGAAAGCCCCCGGCUCAACUGGGGAGGGUCACUCGAUACUGAUCGACUUGAAGGCAGGAGAGGGAAGCGGAAUUCCCGGUGUAGUGGUGAAAUGCGUAGAUAUCGGGAGGAACACCAGUGGCGAAGGCGGCUUCCUGGACUGUUCUUGACGCUGAGGCGCGAAAGCUAGGGGAGCAAACGGG